rnacentral:lncRNA from 1 species
UUUUUUUUUUUUUUUUUUUUUAACAGAUGAGAAAGAAGAAGCUAAGAAGAGAAACAGAAUUUGCCCAAGAUCACACGGCUACUAUGUGGCAGAGCUGGGAUUCCAAACACCAUCUGUCUCAUUCAAAGCUUAUGCUCUGAGCCUACUGCUUGUACGCGUCCUCCCCUCCUAUGUCCUGGCCUCGGCAACUCUCCACUCUCCCACAUCGUAUGCAUUUCACGCUUCCAUUCUGCCUCCCUUGGCAUGGAAGACCUUUCUCUUCUCUGUGGGUUCAGAAAGUUCUAUUCACUGCUCAAGGCUCAGCUCCACGGUCCCCUUCCCACAAGCCCAGCCAGCUUCACUGCUCCCACUGCCUUCCUGUGGCAGCGCUAUAAUGACACCAAACCAUCCAUUCAUCCAUGGGACCACAUAUCCGUCUAUCCACCCAAGAAUCACACAAAUAUAGUAGGAGAUGGUUUAUCUAGAAGUCUAGAUACUAGAAACAUCCAAACACAGGAACUUUUUAUGCUCAGCCUUUGGAAAAAAAAAUAUAUAUAUAUAUAUCAUACUUUUGUCUACAUUGAAGAAAAUUUGCUGGAGGUCAGGGUGUAUGGAGAAGAAAUGUGCUCUGCUGGGCACCUGUGGAUGCUGACUGGUCAGGGACGGCCAUCCCUGCAAUCUGGCGAGGGUGGUUUCCAAGGUUACCAAAGCAGGUCUGUGCGAUUUCCCUCACCCAGUCUCUACAUGUCUAAAUCCUAUUUAGACACCAUGCCCAGCUCGAAUAGCUCUUCAUCCUCAAACCCUUCCCUGAUUCCCAGUCCGCCCCAACCCCCGUCAGGCACAAAUGGACCGGGACCCCCACCAUAAUGAGUCUGUGACACCUCUGAUGACACUCAGCACUUUCAUCAUCCACGGCUCUGACACUGCAGUUCCUAAAGCUCACUUCGCACUUGACCUCCCCCGCCGGUCUCCUUGGAGCUAGGAAGUGCACGCCCUUGACCUUCCUGAUGUUUUCAGAACCAAGCCCAGUGCCUGGGACACAGAUACUCAUGAGUAACGGGGUGACUGAAACUGGGUGACACUGGACUAGAAUGGGGGAGGGCAUCCAAAAAGCCCUCAAAUGCAAGCACCGAGCAGUGUAAUAUGCACACGGCAGGUGCAAAAUGAAUAUAAAACCCUAUUUCUUUCCAUCCCUCCAAAAGAAGGCUAGAAAAGUGGGACCAAGCAUCCAUUCGGCCUGAGGUGUUUGAAGGUCUGGGUCCCACGGUUCACUAACAUACUGCGGUGGUGGCUUCUGACAUUCUCCCGGAUGAACCAGGCAGGGAAAGACCACGUUUGAGCACGUUCUAGUUUCCGCAGUCAUAAAAUGAGAGCUACAGCUUAAAGACAGACAGGGCUUCUAGAUCAGCUAGUACAACCACCGGCUUUUACAGAGGAGGGUCGGUGAAGUUCAAUGACGCCAUCCGAGUCACAGGGCAGGAAGGACUGUGCAGAUGCAUUUCCCUGUCCCCUCCUAGACUUUCAAAUAAGCCUCUAGGAAACUGAGCACUCUCUGAAUGGCUAAAAAUAAACUCCCAGAAACUUCAUCUAGAUCUUUCGCGGCUGCAAUUUACAGUGUCUAGAACUUCAGCACGGUAUAAUUAACAAAUGGAUUACAAUAAUUUAUUUUCGGUUUAAAAGCUCGAAGGAAGACGACCUUCCGGUGGAAUGGGAAAAUAAGAGGCUGGAAGCCAGCCGCAUUCCUCUGAACCUGUCCAACGCCACAAUUUGAAUGCUGGCUGGUAUCCCUCUAUUGAUGUCGCCAGGUGUGCCAGAGAAAGGACAGUAACUUUGGGCUCUGGGCCACCUGCGAAGCAUGUCAUCUUGGGUGAAGUGCACACGCACACACCCACACACACCCUGCAAAGGGUCCCAGUGACCAGAAUGGUGUCCUAGACCACCCCUCCCAUAAUCAGGAAAACCCACGAGCAGGGAAACGUUUGUUGGGAUAUUUCUGAGGGGCCGUAUCAAAGCAUGGGCCGACAGGGACCCCUCUCCACACUAAAGGGACCCCGGCCUGGGUCUGGGAGGAACCGGGUUUGGGUUUUGUUUUAUGUGGGCCAUGAAUAACAACCACUUCAAGUCCCUUUUAUAGAAUGUUGACUCCCUCACAAGAUUAUCAGGGGGAUUAAUUGAGAACAAUCUGUGGAAAGGGUUUUAUAAGUGAACACUGGUGAUUCUUCUUGGGCAAAUACAUUUGCAAAGUAGCUCGUUGGGAGGAGGGCGUUUCUGGACCAAAGCUCGACACCCUGCUGGAGCCUCCAACCUGGGCAGUUGUCUUCGGGAAUUUCUCUCUGCAGAGUCCAGGCAGAGGCAAGGCCUUUCAAUGUCUGCAAGAUCUCCAGGCAGAAUAUUCCGAUGCUAGGAAACAGGGAUCCUCUUUGGGGCAAGGAAGACGAACAACUUUCUCCUGUCUCAGGCACUGCGCCAAAUGCCACCAAAGCACACUGUCACGGAAGGUGUGCAAAAGAUGUGCCAAACCAAACUGAUGCUCACUUUCUCCCGCUGAAGGCAGGGGAUGGACGGCCCUGAGCCCCGACCACGUGUCAGGCUGCCACUGGACCCUUUUGCUUCUGUAGGCGAGAGCAAAACCCGCCACCCCAAAAUGUCCCUUUGGUAUGCUGCGUAUUUCAAACUAUAAACAACCGAGGCCCAAAAGUCUCAGGAAGAAACUUUGACUAAAUGCCUAAAUGCCUAAAAAAUUGAGACAGAAGGUCUGUUCCAGAAGAGAGCGAUCACCAGAGUUACCUGUGAAGACUAUGGGCUGGGUGUGGUGGCAGAACAGGGGGACAGACCAGAUGUGUGUCCCGCGGCCCCUGUGUGGUCCAGCAAAGACCUGUUUACCAAACGUUUGCUUCUCCACCCCCUUGUCACUUGCCUUUCUUUCCUUCGAAAUCCCAAACCACGGCCCCCAACAUCCUCUCUUGUCUUCAGCAGAAGACACUAUUUAAGGUGAGGCUUCAGCCUUUUAGGCGACUUACUCCAUUUUCUUGGGUCUCUCCCAUGUAUAUAUGCGAUGACACUUUUGUUCGAUUCUCUCCUGUGCAUCUGUCCUGAGUCAAUUGAAUUCUGAGACCAGCCAGGAGGACCUGGAUGGAAAGGUAGAGAGAAAUCUCUUCCUCUCGGACCCAGCUCCUCUCACAGCCUCCGAGGCCACCCCCACUGCAGUGUCGCUUGUACAGGUGACAGGCCGUGCACACCAGUGACACGGGUGUACGUGACGUCUCCUCUCUCCUCUCCAAGCAGCCCCUGCGUGUGAAGCUGGACCCUCGUCCUCAUGCUCUCAAUGCAUAGAGAUCAUUGGGGGAGGACGUCACGGCUUUGAUCAGUUAGGUCGGAACAAGAACCCCAAGAGUGCCUGCUUCACCGAGUGCCUCCAGACAACAGAGUAGGUGUGAAAAACUUUGGAAACCGUGCCCCUCACUGAAAGAGCUGUUGCUCUUGUCCAGAUCCUCAAGAGCUGCCUACUGCCUUUUUGAAUAGGAAAUUUUGUCUGUUUCUGACUUAAAGAUACCAUUGGCCCACCAUGUCCUCGUGUCGGACCCCCUUGUUUCCCAGGCUCCGUGCAAACCAGCCCCUUUUCAGGCCGCUGCUCUCAAGGGCACAAGCUGCUUCCUCUCCCCAGAGUCACCUCCCCACUGAGGCCUGAGACUUCAGACUCAGAAUCACUUCCUGGGGCAGCUCUGCUUCUGCUACGCAUCUCUCAGGGCCAUUCCAAGUCUUUGAAUGACAGUUGAUGAAUGUCUACCUCCCCAACUAGACUGGGCCAGGGCCCACUUACGUCACCAGGAUGUCCUCAGGGGGGUGUCUCCAGGGGGCCAGGCACGCAGCGGCCCCUCAAUUCAUCUGUCUGCUUUGUUCACGGAUGUACCCCCAGCAUCCAGAGCAGUGCAAGGCCCAAGGUCGGUACUGAUCAAUAAUUGGACGGAUGCACCCAAGAAAGGCUGGUUAGAGAGGAUAUAGAGCAGGGGCUAAAAUGAUGGACUCUGGAGCCAGAACACCCAGGCUGAGCUUGGCUGCUCCACUCAGAGCUGUGUCACCCUGGGAAGUGAUUUCACGUCCCUGUGCCUCGGGGUCUUCAUUUAUUCCAAAAGGAAUAAUAGCUGUGCCUACCUCCUCGCGUGGUCGUGAGGAUUAAAUGGUAUAUUUAAGGUUUUGGGAGCAAGGCCAGGCAGGUGGUUGGCACUGCGUAAGUGUAGCUAUUCUUGGGAAGCCCGCUCCUCAUCGCCCUCCCCUGGAGCCCUCCUCUUCUCUGAAGCUGGUCCAGCGUGGUCCUCCUCCCCUGUCUCCUCGCUCUCAGGACCUGUUCUCUGCACCUGGGGCCCUUCCAGGCACUCCUUGUGAUCCCAAAGAGGGGCUUGUUCCCCAUCUCCUCCCCGAGAGACCACAACGAGCCCAGGGAGAGGCUAGAGAAGAAAACGGGGUUGGGGGGGAGCGGGAGGAUGUGCGGGAACCUCCCAGGGCACAUGGCAGGUGGGGGUCACUUGAGUCCACGUACGGAUUCUGCCUCCACACCUGUUUCUAGGGACAAAGCUUCCAGCCUGGAGUGCCUGCUUCCUGGGCGCAAAAAAAAAAAUGCUUUUCCUUUUUAUUUCCAUGAGUGAAAUAAAUGGUUGGCCAUUAAGAUGUAAAACCCAGCUGUCACAGUCCAUAGCACAACAGGCAGGUUAAUAUGGGUGCUUAGGGACGCUAGUUCCUCAUGUUAACCCAGAGUAAGAGCAGCUUAUCCAGAAAGACGCCGGAGUGCUCCGGAAACCUGCCACUUUUCCCUUUAAUAAUAUUUGAUGGUUAAAUAAAAGUAAAUGUUUGUUUCCAAAUAGAGUUCUCUCGCUCCUUCCUUCCCCUCUCCUCUCCCCGCUUCCUGUCCUAAGAACAUCUUGGCCUUGGUUUUCUCCCUGAAAUUCGGGACAUCAGGUGCAGAUGUGCAUCUGGGGCACCGCGGGGUGGCUCAACUUGCCUCCCGACCCAGUUCCCUGAGUCCCGUCACGCCUCUCCAUUUGCCACCCUCCCGCACCUGCCAGCCCAUCCAGAGGGAUGGGCUUGAACCCUGGCUGCACUUGACCGGCCGCUUGGGGAAGCGACUUCAGAGCCGGCCCUGCAUGCUGGGCCAUUCUGGCAGAGGCUGGAGCCCCUGCACCCGGCUGGCAGUCCUGGGGGUAAGGGGUUAUUCCCCGGGUGCUUGUCAGCCAGGACAACUCGGCACCCCACUCCCCGAGGGCUCCUGUUCCUACUGUGGGUAACACACGCCCCUCGGGGAGCCCGGCAGAGGGGAGAGGUGAAGGCAGAUCCCAACCUGGUCAGAACUUGGCAGCAGAUCCUCAAAUGGACGAGGCUUCUUGGGCCUCAAGCACUUUCGACCCGCUGUUUCCUUUGUCACGUCACCUGCCCCUGACUAAUUCCUUCUUGUCCUUGAAGACUCAGCUGAAGGUCACCUCUUCCUAGAAGCCUCCCUCACCCUCUGCCUAGAUCGGGGGCCCAUCUUUUGAGCUUCCACAGCCCCUGGGCUUCCCCUGGUGGUGUGAUUCUCACCUUGGCGAAACUAUCUGUUUAUGGGAGUGUCUCCAAUGAAUACCCCCAGGGACUGUGUCCCAGGGCAAGGCGCUUUGGGUGGGGAACAGUAACCAUCCAUGCAUUGGUUCAUCUAUGCAUCAGCUCUGUGCCUUGUUCCGGGAGGAAUUUCAGGCAGCAGAAAAAUGAAAACUGUGGAGGUCCUGUCAUGGCUCAGCGGAAACGAAUCUGACUAGUGUUCAUGAGGUUGCAGGUUCCAUCCCUGGCCUUGCUCAGUGGGUUAAGGAUCUGGCGUUGCCAUGAGCUGUGGUGUAAGUUGCAGACGUGGCUCGGAUCCCGAGUUGCUGUGACUGUGGUAUAGGCGGGCGGCUACAGCUUGGAUUGGACCCCUAGCCUGGGAAGCUCUAUAUGUCGCCAGUGAGGCCCUAAAAAUACAAAAGACCCAAAAAAAAAAAAAAAAAAAGAGAACUGCUUCUGAGAAGCUUAGAGUCAGAUAGAAUGCAGACACAGAAGCAUUUUAAAAAUAUUCAAUGACGGGAGCUAAUGCGACGUGGCUGGUGGCCUGGAGUGGGGCUGGGCGAGUCUUCUCUCUGUCUCCCUCAGAGACCACUCACGUCCACGAGGAAAACGGAGGUCAGAGAAGAGAUGGGCACGAGCCUCGCCCCCGCCCCAACCCCCACCCCCAGGCAGCGUUUUUGCACAGGGGAGAAAGCUCAGGCUUCAUCAACAUUCACUGGUUAUUCUAAUUUUUUUUUUUUGUCUUUUUAGGGGCGCACCCGCAGCAUAUGGAGGUUUCCGGGCUAGGGGUCUAAUGAGAGCUGUAGUCACUGGCCUACGCCAGAGCCACAACAAUGCCAGAUCCGGGCCGUGUCUGUGACCUACACCACAGCUCACGGCAACGCCGGAUCCUUAACCCACUGAGCGAGGCCAGGGAUGGAACCUGCAUCCUCAUGAACAUUAGUCAGAUCUGUUUCCGCUGAGCCACGAUGGAACCUCCCUCCCUGGUGUUCUAGAUCCCUUCAGAAAUUGACAAUGCAGGAUGAGCCACUUCUCUAUCCUGAGUCUCAGUUUUCUCAUCCACAAAAGCAGAGGGUUAGAGUAGAUCAUUCCCAAAGGCUCUUCCUGCUU